GGCUGGUCCAAGGUAGUAGGUUAUCUCAAGUGAUAGCUCACAGUUACAGAUCGAACUCCUUUCUACUCUUUCCCCCAUCCUCACUACUGCACCUGACUAGUCCUUA
ensembl:misc_RNA Y_RNA Y RNA